rnacentral:rRNA from 1 species
UACGUAGGGGGCGAGCGUUGUCCGGAUUUAUUGGGCGUAAAGGGCGCGUAGGCGGCGACUCAAGUUAGAUGUGAAAGUCCUGGGCUUAACCUGGGGACUGCAUUUGAUACUGGGUUGCUUGAAUUCGGGAGAGGAUAGCGGAAUUCCCAGUGUAGAGGUGAAAUUCGUAGAUAUUGGGAAGAACACCGGUGGCGAAGGCGGCUAUCUGGACCGACAUUGACGCUGAGGCGCGAAAGCGUGGGGAGCAAACAGG